AAGGGCACCACAAGAACGCGUGGAGCAUGUGGCUUAAUUUGACUCAACGCGGGAAAACUUACCGGGUCCGGACACACUGAGGAUUGACAGGCGACCAUUUUGUAAAUAUGCUAGUCCUUUCAUGAUUGUGUGAUAGGUGGUGCAUGGCCGUUCUUAGUUCGUGGAGUGAUCUGUCUGCUUAAUUGCGUUUCAGAUUAAUGGGAAGUAAUGAGCAGGUCAUUGUGUCUCGGUAAAACGAGACAACUUUGUCUGAGCUCUCUUCCUUGAAAGCAACGAACGUGACCGCAGCCCUUUGUUGGAAUCAUCAUUUACGAUUCCUAACUAAGGGGACCGCCAGGUUUUUUAAAACCGGAGGAAGGUUGCGGCAAUAACAGGUCUGUGAUGCCCUUAGAUGUUCCGGGCUGCACACGUGCUACAAUGAUUGUUACAGAAAGUAUCUACUAUUGAUUGUCCUCGAAGACUUUAUUUACAAGUUGGAAAGGACCACGGAUGGUGUCUCGUGUGUCUUGACUUCGGUCAGGUCACGUGAAUGACGACCACCGUGAAACCUACCUCGAAAGUUCGGUAGGCAAUCAAUUCCAAGUGACAAUCUCCCCUGCACAAAUCAAAUGUUGCUGCCGCGAGCCUUUUGUGCUCAACGCAGUUGACAUGUGCUCUAUAAAUUCGUGGUCGGGACAGACCAUUGCUAAUUGUUGGUCUCGGUCUCAACUAGGAAUGCCUUGUACGGGUCUUUGGUUCAACAAACCACCCGGAAUACGUCCCUGCCCUUUGUACACACCGCCCGUCGCUCUUACCGAUGGACUUCUCUGUGAGUUUGAGGGACUGGCGUCCACGCCUCGUGUGUGCGAUGCUAUGGAAACUUAAACGAACAGUGUGGUCUAAAGGAAAGAGAAGUCGUAACAAGGCAUCGGUAGGUGAACCUGCAGAAGGAUCA
rnacentral:rRNA from 1 species